UAGCGUACACAUUUACUUUCAUGUUUUUUUAUUUGAAGAAAGAAUCGCUUCCAAGAUGGAUCGGAGAGUUGACUACACACCUGGUAACCCACACUGGAGAGAAGCCUUAUAUCUGUCUGUGUGGGAAGAGCUUUGCUCUAUCUGGACACCUGAAUAGACACCAGCGAACACACACUGGAGAGAAACCUUACAGCUGUGAUCAGUGUGGGAAGAGUUUCAGUCUAUCAGGGACCCUAAAUACACACCAGCGAACACACACUGGAGAGAAACCUUAUGUCUGUCUAUGUGGAAAGAGCUUUUCUCAUUUAGGGCCAAUGAGAAAACACCAGAAAACACAAACGUGCUGUAUUUCAUCUUCUUCCUAUCCGACACCCGACACCGGUUCCAGAUCCCUAAAUAAAUGUUCAAUAAAAAACAUCUAGUGAACCCUAACCCUAAAUAAAGGAUAAAUACAUUU